rnacentral:rRNA from 1 species
AACGCUGGCGGCGUGCCUAAUACAUGCAAGUCGAACGCACAGCGAUAGGUGCUUGCACCUAUCAAGUGAGUGGCGAACGGGUGAGUAACACGUGGACAACCUGCCUCAAGGCUGGGGAUACAUUUGGAAACAGAUGCUAAUACCGAAUAAAACUUAGUGUCGCAUGACACCAGGUUAAAAGGCGCUACGGCGUCACCUAGAGAUGGAUCCGCGGUGCAUUAGUUAGUUGGUGAGGUAAAGGCUCACCAAGACAAUGAUGCAUAGCCGAGUUGAGAGACUGAUCGGCCACAUUGGGACUGAGACACGGCCCAAACUCCUACGGAGGCUGCAGUAGGGAAUCUUCCACAAUGGGCGCAAGCCUGAUGGAGCAACGCCGCGUGUGUGAUGAAGGCUUUCGGGUCGUAAAGCACUGUUGUAUGGGAAGAACAGCUAGAAUAGGGAAUGAUUUUAGUGUGACGGUACCAUACCAGAAAGGGACGGCUAAAUACGUG